GAAACGGCCCUUUUCAGGGCCACCAGAUUUUAACGGUGAAUUGUUAU
rnacentral:ncRNA from 1 species